UACGUAGGGGGCAAGCGUUGUCCGGAUUUAUUGGGCGUAAAGAGCGUGUAGGCGGCCGUACAGGUCAGCUGUGAAAACUCGAGGCUCAACCUCGAGACGUCGGUUGAAACCGUACGGCUAGAGUCCGGAAGAGGAGAGUGGAAUUCCCGGUGUAGUGGUGAAAUGCGUAGAUAUCGGGAGGAACACCAGUGGCGAAGGCGACUUCCUGGCCUGUUCUUGACGCUGAGGCGCGAAAGCUAGGGUAGCAAACGGG
rnacentral:rRNA from 1 species